AGAGGUCAGUGGCACAAGGAUUGCCUUGUUUUAUCAUAAAGGAGGGAGGUUGUUGAGGCAACAUUGGAAACCAGGAAUAAGUUACCAGGGGUUUGUGGAAAGUAGUGGCACCAAAAUGGACAGACUGAGACUGCAGAUCAGACUGACAUCAAGAUAACAGCUGGGAGGUGACUGUGGGUUAAAUAUUCAUGGAUUAUUCAUUCUAUUUUCCUUGGGAAUACACAGAAGACUCUUCCAGGCACUGGCUUAUGCAGCUGUAAAAGAGACAUGUGCUACCUCUCUCCAGGUAUCCAGAAAAGGCCCUGGUUCCUAAGACAAUUCAAGGUCAAGAGAACAAAAAAUAAAUUGAAAAAGGAUUAAAUCUCAGAAGACCUCUAUGAAGAUGACUACAAAACUUUACUGAAGAACUUAAAAGAAUGCCACAUGCCUGGAUGGAAUAAAUAUCAUAAAUAAGAGAAUCAUCCCUAAAGUAAUCAAUAUAUUCAAUGCAAUUACAACCCCAAUUAAACAGGAUUGUUCAAUAAAAUUCGUCAAACUGGUUGCAAGAUUCAUUGUGAAGAAAAAAAUGUUUAAGAAUGGGCUAGCCAGUUUUGAAAAUGAGUAAUAUAUAGAGACUUAGUUCACCAGUCAUUGAGACAUACCAGAAAGCUACCAUCUUUAGAACAGUUUAGAGUGGGCACCAGAACAGACAGAACCACCAAUGGGAAAGAAUAAAGACAAACAUACAUAAACAUUUAGUAUAUGAUAAAAGAAACAUCUCACUAAAAUGUGGACAAUUCAGGUGGAACUCACGGGAUGUUAUUUUUAGUAAGAUAAAAAAGAAUACUUUUAUCACAUCCUAUACAAAAUAAAGUUCCAGAUGGAAUAAGGAAUUAAACAUAAACACUAUACAGGGAGUUAAAAGAAAGUCUAAAAGACCAGACAUGGUGGCUCACACCUGUAACUCCAGCACUUUGGGAAGCCCAGACAGGCGGAUCACUUGAAUCCAGGAGUUUGAGACCAACCUGGCCAACAUGGGGAAACUCCACCUCUACUAAAUAUACAAAAAAUAGCCAGGUGUGGUGGUGUGUACUUGUAGUCCCAGCUACUCAGGAGGCUGAUGUGGGAGAAAUGCUUGAACCCCAGAAGCAGAGGUUGCAGUGAGCCUAGAUUACACAACUGCACUCCAGCCUGGGUGACAGAGCCAGACUCCAUCUCAAAAAAAAAAAGUAUAAGAGAGUGUUUUCAUGCCUUAGAGUGGGAAAGACAUAUAUAAAAUGUAGUCAAAAGCUCAAGACAACAACCUCCAAACAGAAAGAAAAAGAUGGUCAGAUUUGAGUUCGAAAAUUUUAAAACCUCAAUAAGAUAAAACAAGUACCCAUAGAGUUAAAAAUCAGUGGAGGACUGGAGGGCGGGAUGUCACAUAUAAUUAAUUGGCAUCUAGAAAUCGAUUUUUAAAUAUAGAAAAGGGCAAGAGUUAUAAACAGACAAUUCCCUGAAGACAAAAUAAAUUGGUCAAUAAACAUAUGAAAAAUAUAUACUCAUUUAUAAUCAGAGAAAUACUAAUCAAAAUGACUAGGAGGUCAGCCAAAUUGGCAAAAAAUAAGUCUUGAUAACAUCAUCGGGCCAGUGUGUGGAGAAGCCUGAUGUGCACUGCUGUGAGGAGUGUAGACUGGCCAAGGCCUCUGGGAAAGCACUUUGUAAUAUCGAUUGGUUCUAAGUGCAUGCACCCAGUAGCCCAGCAAUUCUAUUUCUGGGUUAAUUUCCUCCACAAAUAUAGGGAUAUGCAUUUUUGUGGCAGUACUGUUGUUUAUAUUAAUGAAACUGAAUGGGCCUGAAUGCCCACCCACAGGGAACUGUAUACUCCAUAGAGGUUGCUAGGGCCUCCCUGUCCAAAUCUGUUCUCUUCUCAAGUCACACAGAGGACACCUUUUCCAGCCACCUUGCAUGGAAAGCACACAACUAGUUCUAAUCAACAAAAUGAGAUCCUUCCCAUCUUACCUGGGGUUCUACCAUUAAUUUGGUGUCAGAUCAUAUGAGAGGCAAUAAUCCUCCUCCUUCCUAAGGGAAGAAGACUAGCACUGAGGGUGAAGAGCUGGAGACCUGAAUCUAGUCAGGCCUAGAAGGAAAUAUGGGCUUUGCUGCUCACUAAAGUGUGAACUUGGGCAAGUCAUUUAGCCCUUCUGGGCCUCAAUUCCCUCAUCUAUAAAUUAGAACAUCUAUAAAUUAGUUGUAGUCCCUGUCUUAUACUCUGCAAGUUUAAUUGAGAAAAACCAGAUCAGAGGCUUAGCACAGGACCUAAACUGUAGCAACACUUUAACAAAUGUCAGUUAUCACUGUUAGGGGUAUGCAUGUGUGUUCUUGCUUCAAUCAGCUAUCACUGCAUAUUGGAGCGCCAUGGCACAUAGCAUGGUAAUGGUGUCCGGUCUCUGUCUCUGAAGCCUUGGUGCUUCAUAGCCUGACCUGUGCAGAGGGGUGUGGGAUGGGCAUGGCUAACAUCACAGAGCCUCAUGAAGACCCUGUCCCUGGGUAUGGGCACAAAGCCUGCCUUUCACUUACAGUGAGAGUCAGUUCUCACCUGGUGCUCAGUUCCUCUUUGCUGGCUGGUAGAUGACAAUCUCUUGUGAGAAUUGAGUGGCUCUCCUCCAUUGCUCACUGAGUACUGGUGGGGCAUGGCAGUGACCAAGGCUUUCCACUGACUAUUGACCCCAACCCAUCUCGGCCCCCACCUUCUGGGCACAUCUGGCCCAGAAGAGCCAGCCUACACUCGGCUUUAUCUCACUACACAGCUGCCAUGCAGGUACACUUCAACCUGCAUCACUCAGCAUCCUUUGUCACCAUUUCCAAGGUAAGAAGAGCUCUAAAAUGACUCAGAGAAGCUGCUUAAAAGGCCAUCUUGGGCAUCUCCUGAAAGUCUAAGCUAUAGCCAAGGAGGGGCCAGCACACCAUUCCUAUUAGUACUAUUAUCACAACCUACUAGUCUCCAGAAUGGGGAGUGGGGACAGAUUGACCUUUGUGUUCAACUGGCCUCUAGUUCUCUAUUCUUCACUCUCCUGAAGACAAGUCACCCUUCUUGAUGUGGCUUCAGAGCCAGAGAACUAUUGAAAUGGGUGGAGGUAGUCUCUGGCACAGGGUGGAGGAACUCAUAGGCCUUCUGUAGUUUGACUUCAGACUGCAGUUGCUCUAUGUCUUCAAAAUCAUCAGUGAUUAUUUUUACAUUGAAAAGUCCAGAUUUUAAGCCCACAGCCAAUCCCAUAUCAUAGCAGUUCUCAGGUGUCUGGCUCAGACUUGGCAUUUUCCAGCCAAUUGUGGGGAAAGCAUCUCAGAAAAAAACAGACACACAGUUUCAAAAUAAAUCACUACAAAAUGCUGGCUUUCACAACCUAUGGCAAACACAAUCCAGAAAGCAUGGACUUGCUCAAACUGACUAUAAGACCCAUUGCUGUCCACUUUGCAUGCUUCCUACAUUAUUCAGAAACCAUCUUGGCAGGUAUCACCAGCACCUUUUUGUGUACUUUCAGUUAUAGAGAGAUCACUAAUUAGCCAGGCAGCCUCUGUUCUUUCUGGAUAUCAUUCAGAAUCUGCCUUUAUGCCAAGUGGAAAGUGGCUUCCCUCUAAAUCUCUGAUGAGAGACAAAGACGCUGGGAUCCCUGGUCUUUAUCAAACCCAAGUGAAGCUAUCAGUGAGGUGUGGAGGUUUCUGGUUGUAGCAUCCACAUGACAGCCACAUGUAUUACCAAACCAGGGAAUCUGAAAAGCCACAGUACUGGUUUGAGAAAAAUUGGUUGGUACCAGAUUUCCAAUAUGGCAGCUGGAGACUUGGAGAAUGAAGGAGAGUAUAGAUGGUCUCCAAGAAAUGUCAGGAAAUACACUGGUCCAUGAGAGGUUAGAAGGCUGCAAACUCAGAUGUGGGGACAGACUUUGAGAAACAUAUUGAUGAAAGGUGGAUAUACAGCCAGGGCCCCACCCAGUGCAAUGGGAUUCAGGGUAGAUUCUGAAACUGGCUUUGAGACAGGAUCAUUGGUCAGCAAGGGGGGGUGCAGUGGAUCAAUACAGGUUCCAGGACUGACUGGCAGUGGUGACUCUGAAAAGUGACAGCCAAGAGGACACUGGCAAGAGAUCAAGGAGUGAGCUACAGCUCAGAUCCCACUGUGAAAUUUGGGCUUGGUCUCUGGUCAAAUUAAAUCAGGACCUGGCGCCAUUAGCAUGAAUGGGAGAGGGAAGA